rnacentral:lncRNA from 1 species
GCUUCUCCAUAUGGCUAAUUUAGGCUUCCUCACAGCAUCAUAAUCUUAGGAUUGCAAGAGGGGACAUUCCAAAAAGACAAGCCUCAAUGUGCAAGCCUUUACUUUUAUCAUGCUUACUAAUGUGUCACUGGCCAAAGCAAGUCUCAUGGCCAAGCUCAGCGUCAGUGUGGGGAGGAACUACACAAGAUUGUGAAUAUUGGGAGGUGUGACAUAUUGGUAGUCAUUUAGACUAGGGACAGACCACCUUAAUCCAAUCAAGAGAAUAAUUAAAAGUUACUUCCAGGGUAUAGCCCAGUUCCAACUUAAAAUCUUUCCUCCUUAGGUCCUGAACUCAAUAUUUUUACCCACCCAAUCCCACACCCACUCCCCUUGAGGCAGUUGAAAACUCUGGCUAGUUUCUCAGCCUCUCUCCAUUACUGCUUUCUGAAUGUUAAUUGCCUCGAAGGGAAAAGUGGCACCAAAUUCUGGACUCAAAAUCUUGGAUUUAGGCCCCUCAGACUGUUGAAGUUCUACUGCUCCAGAAAAGAGUAAUAACAGGAUGGAGAUGGAGUUUCAUGACAAAAAUGAAGGUGAAUAUGAUGUGGAAAAUACAAAGAUGGAAGCAACAAGCUAAGGAUGCUGGGGCAGAAAGAUGGAACCUGGGUUACUCAUGACAUCUUGAAACUGCUGCAGCCAUCCUAGACUGGCUGCCUCUAGACUUAAUAUGUUUAGAAAGUAAAUCCCAAUUUUAUUAAA